AGCCACCGCUCUCCAAGGACUCUCGAGCAGCUCCAUCUACAGAUUCACAUGGAGAAGAAUUAAGGGUUCCUGCCAAUCACCAGCACCACUUUGCCAGCCUUGUAAGUGGGCCACCUUGGAAUUGGAGCCUCCAGUUCCUACUGACAUCUGACUGCAACAUCAUGAGAGACCCUGAGUUUGAACCACCCAGCUGAGCUGCUUCUGAGCUAACCCACUGAAACCGUUCCUUAGAUCCUGGGAUGAGGAGGUGGACCAGCAGAAGGUGGGCUUGUGAAGGCAGCCCGGGGUCCAAAUCCUCCUGGCUCUUCAGCUUAGCGGGAUGUCACCUUCAGCGUCUGAAAGCUGGGUUUGAUGCGUCUGGAAAGGCGUCCCUGACAGGCGUCGUUGCCAGGAGCCCCUAGUGCCACCAGCAGCCAGCAGGGGAGGGCGUCCUCUGCCCGCUCACUUCUGACCCUUCUCUCGUUGCACCCGGAACAUGGUGCAGCUGGGAGCAGCCUGGGCUGCGCGGAAGGCUCAGAUUUGGGGACGGCCCUUGCCAGUGACUGUGAGCUGGGGUGUCUUGGAAACUCCCAGUCUCAGCUUCUCCAUUUAUAAGAUGAGAAUGAUCAUACCAGACUCAGGCAAGGUUGUUUGUGCAUUAGUGAAAUCAGACGUAUUAAAUAAAGUACCACAUUGAUCGUGGAGUUGUUGAAUAACCAAGAACACGCCUAUCUGUCUCCAAAAAAUAAAUGUUGAAA
rnacentral:lncRNA from 1 species